rnacentral:rRNA from 1 species
ACUGCUCAGUAACACGUGGACAACCUACCCUUAGGCCUGGGAUAAACCUGGGAAACUGGGUAUAAUACCGGAUAGGUCUCGAAUGCUGGAAUGCAUCGAGGCUGAAAGCUCCGGCGCCUAAGGAUGGGUCUGCGGCCUAUCAGGGUAGUAGUGGGUGUAAUGUACCUACUAGCCUACGACGGGUACGGGUCGUGAGAGCGAGAGCCCGGAGAUGGAUUCUGAGACACGAAUCCAGGCCCUACGGGGUGCAGCAGGCGCGAAAACUUUACAAUGCUGGAAACAGCGAUAGGGGGACUUUGAGUGCCAGGAUACAAUUCUGGCUGUCGUGAUGCCUAAAAAGCAUUGCAUAGCAAGGGCCGGGCAAGACCGGUGCCAGCCGCCGCGGUAACACCGGCGGCUCGAGUGGUAACCGCUAUUAUUGGGUCUAAAGGGUCUGUAGCCGGCUGAAAAAGUCUCUUGGGAAAUCUGGCUGCUCAACAGUCAGGCUUUCAGGAGAUACUCUUCGGCUCGAGACCGGGAGAGGUGAGAGGUACUUCAUGGGUAGGGGUGAAAUCUUGUAAUCCUUGAAGGACCACCAGUGGCGAAGGCGUCUCACCAGAACGGAUCUGACGGCAAGGGACGAAAGCUAGGGGCACGAACCGGAUUAGAUACCCGGGUAGUCCUAGCCGUAAACGAUACUCGCUAGGUGUCGGCCACGGUGCGACCGUGGUCGGUGCCGUAGGGAAGCCGUGAAGCGAGCCACCUGGGAAGUACGGCCGCAAGGCUGAAACUUAAAGGAAUUGGCGGGGGAGCA